rnacentral:rRNA from 1 species
GACAGAGGGUGCAAACGUUGUUCGGAAUUACUGGGCGUAAAGCGCGUGUAGGCGGCUAAGUAAGUCGGGCGUGAAAUCCCACGGCUCAACCGUGGAAGUGCACUCGAAACUGCAUAGCUAGAGUCCUGGAGAGAAAGGUGGAAUGCUUGGUGUAGAGGUGAAAUUCGUAGAUAUCAAGCGGAACACCGGUGGCGAAGGCGGCCUUCUGGACAGUGACUGACGCUGAGACGCGAAAGCGUGGGGAGCAAACAGG